rnacentral:lncRNA from 1 species
AAAUGCUAUUAGGAGCACUCCUGAAUCAUAAUUUACAAUAUAUAAACUUUGGAAAUCAUGAUUUGGGAUUUACAAUGUACAGUGGAACCUCGAUUAUCCGUCAGGGCACUGGACCAAGGGUAUGACGGAUAAUCGAAAAGACGGUUAACAGAACAUUAACAAAACUUAAUUGAUCAAACGACUAAGUGACACAAUCAAUGUUCGAAUUUGAAUCAAAUUUAAUUAUUGUGACACACA